AAAGAAGAAGAGGAAAGAAAUGCAACAUUGGCAUAGUUGGCAGUGGUAGAAUGCCUAGAGGGCAGAGAUGACCCUACUUGUCGAUGCCCACCCUCCAACAUCACUGAAAACUCAUCAAAAAGCACGUUCACAAAGUAAGGAGAGAAAGAAGGUAAAGAGGAGAAGAAGAAGAAAGGAGAAGGAAAGAAGAGAAGAGAAGAAAGGAGAAGGAAAAGGCAGCAUUAGCAUAGUUGGCAGUGGUAGAAUGCCUAGAGGGCAGAGAGAGAUGACCCUACUUGUCCGAUGCCCAGCCUGCCAACAUCACUGAAAAACUCAUCAGGAAGCAUGUGCACAAAGUAAGGAGAGAAAGAAGGAAAAGAGGAGAAGAAGAAGAAAGGAGAAGGAAAGAAGAGAAGAGGAGGAAAUAGAGAAGGGAUUACUACACCCAUCUGCUUACGAUAAUUCUUGUUUUGUUCCAAAUGCUACUGAUGAGUGGGAUAUUAUUGACCAACCAUAGGUUGUCAGAAGGGCUACAGUUUCAUAUGGACUAUUGUUUGUAGAAAUUUGAGCAGCAUACCAAGGAUUACAAAGAGCGAAAGAGCUGGGUCAAAUGCAGUAUUCUAGGAAGAAGGGUGGCCUUAGAACCAUUUUAGUUUAUAGUAUUUGUAAUAUUAUGGGUUGUUUUGAAUCGGUUCAAGUUGAAAAAGGAUUUGGGAGGGAUGUUUCUAUUGCCAAAAGUGGACAGUGCUGUCAAGGUCAUGUAUGCCGUCAACUUCUUUCUUUUGGACGAUGUAGAAUAUAUUCUGUUUAAUUAAUGCCUUUUCUUUU